GUUAAUGCAAAAUGGCGCAGAUAUGAAAACGAUGUGCAACGUACGGCAAAAAGAAUCUGGAUGUUCAACGGUUUAAUCUUAUUUUCCAACGAUACUUGCUAAGGGAUAUUCGUUAACGGUCAUUCACUAACGAGCAUUUACCGAGACAUAUUUGAUGAGAGGUGGUAAGAGUGAUACAACGAUCACAAGUGCAUCGCUUUCCAAGGACGUCAUCGUGGCUAGAUGCAUAUUGUAAGACGUCAAUCGGCUCCUGCGUAUCUGUUCUUGAGGCACAUAAGGCUUGAAGGCGGAAUGUCUCGAUGCCAAUUCUUCGACAGGCG